UUACACGAACUUUUUUUUUUAAUUAGCGAACCCUAAGAAAAUAUUACAGUUCCCAUAAUUCAACCCACAAGAUUUAUUUGUCAAAUCAACACCCAUGACCUACGCUCCUACCAGCCACCCUACACACCAUGCUUUGUACCUCCAAGCUCCCCAAAAUUCAACUCUUAGCCAUGCUUUGCAGAGGCAAUCAACUCCAACACUCCUACUCCUCUGCCAAUUUAAAGUUACUGCAGCCAAACUCCUCUGCUCACUCUCCAUCCUAUUCGAAGCACACUACCACCACUUUAGAAAUUCCUUCAACUUCAAGAUAUCUUCCAAGUUCUUGCUAGAAUUCAAGUGUAGAGCCAACAACCAAGCGAGAACACCCAUUUCAAACUUCACCAAGGCUUUGUGGACCAAUGGGAUUAGCACUGUUUUCCCAAGAUGAGUUUAUGUGAUUAUGAUCUUCAGGAUUUGCCUAUCCAGGUUGGCUGGCCGGUGCUGACGGGACUGAGCUGAGGCUAGGGUUCAAAUUCUAUAUAGACUUCCGUUGUAGUAAUAACUCUUAUACAUCUUUUGUUUUCUUAACUUAAGAUGACUUCAUGUCGAGCUUCAAUUUAAAAUUUCUAGUUUUAUGUUAAUGAACGUCGGUUGUCAGAAACAUGAAACAAAACUUGUGAUCCAAAGGGGGGGCUAGCCCGACUUGUUAUCUUAUUAUUCGGGUUUUAACAAGGUUGUUCCUUAUUUA